UAAUACGAGUGGAGCAAGCGUUGUUCGGAAUCACUGGGCGUAAAGGGUGCGCAGGCGGGCAUGAAAGUCAGGAGUGAAAGCCCAGGGCUUAACCUUGGAACUGCUUCUGAAACUUCAUGUCUAGAGUCCGGUAGAGGUUGGCAGAAUUCCCAGUGUAGAGGUGAAAUUCGUAGAUAUUGGGAGGAAUACCAGUGGCGUAAGCGGCCAACUGGACCGGUACUGACGCUCAUGCACGAAAGCGUGGGGAGCAAACAGGAUUAGAUACCCUGGUAGUCCACGCCGUAAACGAUGUGUGCUAGUUGUUGGGUCCCUCAGGGGCUCGGUGACGCAGCUAACGCUUUAAGCACACCGCCUGGGGAGUACGGUCGCAAGAUUAAAACUCAAAUGAAUUGACGG
rnacentral:rRNA from 1 species